rnacentral:rRNA from 1 species
CCGAUAGCAAACAAGUCCCCUGAGGGAAAGAUGAAAAGGACUUUGAAAAGAGAGUUAAAAGUGCCUGAAAUUGCUGAAAGGGAAGCGAAUGGAAUCAGUGCUUCUUGGCAAGAUUGGCGCGUGCUAAUGUGAUUGCUUGCUGCUUCAGCGUAAGCGUGGCAGUGGGUUUUGAUCAGGUCGUGCGUGUUGUUUCUUGCCUUGCUUAGUCAACGUCAGUUCUCAAUCGAGGAAAACGCCAGGGACAUGGUAGCCUGCCUACGGGUGUGUGAAUGUGCUUGGUUGAACUCAUUUGUGAACUGUUUCCUGUGUGUCUGGUUGCAGUGCACUGUGUCCUUGCAGCUCUGUCAGUUGGGUUCUACCCUUCUGCAGAUGCUGCUUGUGACAAGGGCAUCUCCCUGACACUACAACGCUGACGAAAUGGUUCUAUUCGACCCGUCUUGAAACACGGACCAAGGAGUCUAACAUAUGUGCGAGUUCAUGGGUGGUUAAACCUGCGUGCGCAAUGAAAGUGACUGCUGGGAUCUUUGCACCAGCAACCGACCAAUCAACUGAGAGAGGUUUGAGUAUGAGCAUAUCUGUUAGGACCCGAAAGAUGGUGAACUAUGCGUGGUUAGGGCAAAGUCAGGGGAAACUCUGAUGGAGGCUCGUAGCGAUACUGACGUGCAAAUCGUUCGUCAAAACUGCGUAUAGGGGCGAAAGACUAAUCGAACCAUCUAGUAGCUGGUUCCCUCCGAAGUUUCCCUCAGGAUAGCUGGAGUUGAACAGUUUUAUCAGGUAAAGCGAAUGAUUAGAGGAAUCGGGGACGCGUCGUCCUCGACCUAUUCUCAAACUUUAAAUGGGUAAGAUCCAGUGGUUACUUGGGUGAACUUCUGGGAUAAAUGACAACUCUAAGUGGGCCAUUUUUGGUAAGCAAAACUGGCGAUGAGGGAUGAACCUAACGUUGGGUUAAGGUGUUAACUGCUCG